UUCUCUCUAAGCCGCUGCCAACUGAGAGGUCUGUGAAAGGGUCUUCGCCUCCUGCUCUGGUUUUCCGACGUAGAGGGAUUGGCCUGCUGAGGACUGGCUGCCCCAGUGCCUGGAAUCUGAGGGAAAAUGGCAAGUGUGGAUGGUGAUUCCAGGCAUCUUCUCUCUGAGGUGGAACAUGAAGUAAGCCCUGGGCCUAUGAACAUCCAGUUUGAUUCAUCAGAUCUGAGAUCUAAAAGCAGCACUGAGGCCGCGCGCAGGUUCCCGUCCUUGCACUGUCCCGGUCUCACCAGAUGGCGUCAUGAGAGGCCUUCUCACUUCCGGUUCCCAUGCCUUCCUUCAGUGGUUUGACAGAGAUGGCCUGGCAGUCGGAUGUCAGCACACCACCAGAAGUAGCGAGCACACUGCCACCUGGCCAACAGUAAUUCAGACAUCCGGUGUUAGAGAUUGUGAGGUGUCCUCGUUUAGAAAUGUUUAAGUGCAUAUAUUAGAAAAGUAUCUUAUCAGUAAGCUAUGACAGAAGUCAUUGUCUACUGCCGGCAGGAAGAAUACAAUUGUGAUGUAGGGGGGAUUAAAUCCAGGGGAGAGGCUCUGUCAGUGAAGUAUUUGUCACACAAACUUGAGCCCCCAUAUAAAAUCCAGGAGCUAUGGUGUGUACCUGUAACCACCACACUAGGGAGGCAGGGACAGAUGGCUUCUGGAGAGCAUUGGCUAGCGAGGCCAGCCAAAUUGAUGAGCUCCAGGCUGGUAAGAGACUGUCUCAAUAAAUAGCAAAUAAAUAAACAAACCAUCUCAAAUAUGCCACUAAAUGAGAGAGAGAGAGAGAGAGAGAGGUAGUUCAAUUAGAUACCUGAUGAUGACGUCUGGCCUUUUUAUACUUGUGCUCACAUAUUCUUAUGUACACCAGAAAAAAGAAUUUAACCCACAAAUUUUGUGUGAUCCUCCACUCAGAUCCCAGCGGCAACUCUGAGGUUUCUGGGUAGCAGAAUCUCACUGCCUUACAGCGUCAACCGGUGCCUGCGUGGGGUCAUAUACGUUGCUAAGAUUGAGUGACUAAAAUAUGUUUUCUUCCAGGGCUGAAAAACUACAUUAUAGUGUGUUCAUACAAUGAAAUAUUUUUCAUCUAAUAAAAAGGAGGUGGGCUUAUGACAUACC
rnacentral:lncRNA from 1 species